GAAGAGCUGAUAGUGGAGGCGAGCGCCGACACCCGCCCCUGCCACUACCAGGAAUCUUUAGAUGAGAGCCCUCAGCUUAACACCAGUGAGAGGGAACGAGAUCAAACAGAUUCCACCAUCAUUCAAUCUGUCGUGGAGGAGCCCACGGAAGAGCCCAAGCCACCGUUCUGCCUGGAACCAUCUGUUGGAUCUGGCAACUUUGUUUGUCAAGAACCAACAGAAACCCCUGGCAACAAUAACUGCCA